rnacentral:rRNA from 1 species
GGGUCCGAGGUGCGAUGAUGGGGGCCUUAUGGCCCGAUAUCCGGUGAUCCCGGCUGCCGAGAAAAGCUUCGGCGUCAGGCUCAAAGCCGCCCGUACCCCAAACCGACACUGGUGGUCAGGUAGAGAAUACCAAAGCGAUCGAGCGAAUCCUGGUCAAGGAACUCGGCAAAUCACUCCCGUUCCUUCGGUUUAAGGGAGACCCCCGAUGGUGAACACACUUGCUGUGGGAGCUUUUGGGGGUGGCACAGACCAGGGGGUAGCGACUGUUUACCAAAAACACAGGUGCAUGCGAAGGCGCAAGCCGCUGUAUAUGCACUGACGCCUGCCCGGUGCCGGAAGGUUAAGAGGAUCCGUCAGCCUUCGGGUGAAGCGGUGAAUUCAAGCCCCGGUAAACGGCGGUGGUAACGAUAACCAUCCUAAGGUAGCGAAAUUCCUUGUCGGGUAAGUUCCGACCUGCACGAAUGGCGUAACGACUUCCCCACUGUCUCGACCAGGAGCUCGGCGAAAUUGCAGUACGAGUAAAGAUGCUCGUUAAGCGCAGAAGGACGAAAAGACCCCGGGACCUUUACUAUACCUUGGUAUUGGCAUUCGGUGUGGAUUGUGUAGCAUAGGCGGGAGGCCGAGAGGCGCGGUCGCCAGAUCGCGCGGAGCCGUAAGGUGAAAUACCGCUCUGUUCGCAUUGGAUGUCUAACCUCGAACAGUCAUCCUGUUCAGGGACAGUGCCUGGCGGGUAGUUUAACUGGGGCGGUUGCCUCCCAAAGAGUAACGGAGGCGCCCAAAGGUCCGCUCAGCCCGGUUGGCAAUCGGGUGGCGAGUGCAAGUGCACAAGCGGGCUUGACUGCGAGGACGACGGUCCGAGCAGGGACGAAAGUCGGGACUAGUGAUCCGGUGCCGGUGUACGGACGCGGCAUCGCUCAACGGAUAAAAGGUACCCCGGGGAUAACAGGCUGAUCAUUCCCAAGAGUCCAUAUCGACGGGAUGGUUUGGCACCUCGAUGUCGGCUCGUCGCAUCCUGGGGCUGGAGCAGGUCCCAAGGGUUCGGCUGUUCGCCGAUUAAAGCGGCACGCGAGCUGGGUUCAGAACGUCGUGAGACAGUUUGGUCUCUAUCCUCUGCGCUCGUUGGAAUGCUGAGGAGGCCUGCCCAUAGUACGAGAGGACCUGGGUGGACGAACCUCUGGUAUGCCGGUUGUCACGCCAGUGGCACGGCCGGUUGGCUACGUUCGGAAGGGAUAACCGCUGAAAGCAUCUAAGCGGGAAGCCUGCUCCAAGAUAAGCAUUCCGUGGAACCUUCGAGUUCCUGUAGUCCCCAUGCAGAACACGUGGUCGAUAGGCCGGACGUGGAAGCCCCGCGAGGGGUGGAGCCGACCGGUACUAACGGACGAAAGGC